CACUGGGUAUGUUUUUGUUGUUGUAGCUUAGAUAAUAACCUCAAAGAUAACUAGACAGCACUUUUUUUGCUUUCAAUGAUAUCUUGCUUAUCGUCAACCGCCAAGUAUUUUGGAUAACCAAAAUUCAUAUAUGACAAGACAAAUGUAGAAGUAGAAGAAAUAAUACAGAAACAUUAAAACAGUGAAGUAUAUUGAUGGCUUCUUGGUACCUUUCAGCAGCUUAAUGAGAACCAAACUACUUGCAUUUGUUGUUUUCUGCAACAUUGGCCCAAUAACAAGUGUUGGGAGCACAGUUACCAUAUCAAGUCCACUUUGCUUUGCAUAUGACCAAGCUUCUUUCUCAGCCAUCGUUU